CAGUGCCUCAGAUGGAAAUGGAAUCUACACCGUUGGCCUUCCUAAGUCUCCAGCUUGCAAAUGGCAGAUUAAGAAAAAAGAAAAACUGUCGAUGUUCAGUUCUGAGAGAUGGAGGUCAGAGUAUGCUGAAAUACCUAAAUAAAUCUUUUCAGGUCCAAAGGGGAAACAUUGAUGGAGACUUGAAGAAAACGCUCAGCAAAGCCUAGUGAUUUAUGAAGGGUAAAACAAGUUUUUAAUUUUAUCCUAAAGAAAUUAUUUUGGGAAAACAGAGUUAAUGGAAGAUAUUUGUGUUAGAAUCUCUACAUGAAUUGGUUACAUACUCAGAGAUGUUAUCAAAUAAUUUGGGGAAAUUUCUUUUCACUCUAUGAUAAAAAUCCAUGUGUAUAUACUCAGAAUAAAAAUACCAACUACAUUUAGAACAGUGUGACAAAUAAAUUAUACACACUUCAUAGGUACACAACACUUGGGUGUGAAAUGCAUUUUUGCCUUGCCAGAGUUUAAUUAUAUUUAUCAAUCUCUGUCGUAAGCAAAUACUAAGAAAGCCACCACUUCAAAAGUGACUCUUGACAUCUUAUUUCUGACCCAGAGUUUGUAACAAUGCACCUCACUGUCGCAACUCAUGACUACACCCCCACCUCCUUCAUGACAUCUUCCGGGAUUAACCCCAUCUGAGUUUACAUGACGUCAUCCUCAAGUGAUCUUUUAUGAAGUAGCCCUGAGCAGUGCAUUGUGCUCCCUUCUGUAGAUUGUAGAAUUUGUGAGCACAGGAAUCAGAUCUAUUACUAAUUUUAUUUUUUCCAAGCUCCUAGACCAGGAGGGUGACCUUCAUAGAUAUGUACCAUUUAUACCCACUCCACCCAGCCCCUGGCCGAGCUUAGAAAAAAAUAACCAUCUGUCCAUAGAAAACAUCCUCACAUCUUCUACACAAGCGACACUGUCAUUGAACUAGAAAAAUAAAACAGAAAAGGAAUUAAGAUUUAGUGACUCUAUGAAAAUUAUGAUAAUAGUUAUCUUUAAAUACACG
rnacentral:lncRNA from 1 species